GGCUUGAUUAUGGCCCAGAUUUAACGCUGGCGGGAUGCUUUACACAUGCAAGUCGAACGGCAGCACGGACUUCGGUCUGGUGGCGAGUGGCGAACGGGUGAGUAAUGUAUUUGAACGUGCCUAGUAGCGGGGGAUAACUACAGCGAAAGCGUAGCUAAUACCGCAUACGCCCUUCGGGGAAAGCGGGGACCUUCGGGCCUCGCACUAUUAGAGCGGCUGAUAUCGGAUUAGCUAGUUGGUGGGGUAACGGCUCACCAAGGCGACGAUCCGUAGCUGGUUUGAGAGGACGACCAGCCACACUGGGACUGAGACACGGCCCAGACUCCUACGGGAGGCAGCAGUGGGGAAUUUUGGACAGGUGGGGGAAACUCCUGAUCCAGCCAUCCCGCGUGUGCGAUGAAGGCCUUCGGGUUGUAAAGCACUUUUGGCAGGAAAGAAACGGCACGGGAUAAUACCCCGUGCAACUAACGGUACCUGCGAGAGUCACACCGGCUAACUACGUGCCAGCAGCCGCGGUAAUACGUAGGGUGCAAGCGUUAAUCGGAAUUACUGGGCGUAAAGCGUGCGCAGGCGGUUCGGAAAGAAAGAUGUGAAAUCCCAGAGCUUAACUUUGAACUGCAUUUUUAACUACCGAGCUAGAGUGUCAGAGGGAGGUGGAAUUCCGCGUAGCAGUGAAAUGCGUAGAUAUGCGGAGGAACACCGAUGGCGAAGGCAGCCUCCUGGGAUAACACUGACGCUCAUGCACGAAAGCGUGGGGAGCAAACAGGAUUAGAUACCCCGGUAGUCCACGCCCUAAACGAUGUCAACUAGCUGUUGGGGUUCUCUGGGCCUUGGCAGCGCAGCUAACGCGUGAAGUUGACCGCCUGGGGAGUACGGUCGCAAGAUUAAAAACUCAAAGGAAUUGACGGGGACCCGCACAAGCGGUGGAUGAUGUGGAUUAAUUCGAUGCAACGCGAAAACCUUACCUACCCUUGACAUGUCUGAAUCCCGAAGAGAUUUGGGAGUGCUCGCAAGAGAGAACCGGAACACAGGUGCUGCAUGGCUGUCGUCAGCUCGUGUCGUGAGAUGUUGGGUUAAGUCCGCAACGAGCGCAACCCUUGUCAUUAGUUGCUACGAAAGGGCACUCCCCCAUCGAGACUGCCGGUGACAAACCGGAGGAAGGUGGGGAUGACGUCAAGUCCUCAUGGCCCUUAUGGGUAGGGCUUCACACGUCAUACAAUGGUCGGGACAGAGGGUCGCCAACCCGCGAGGGGGAGCCAAUCCCAGAAACCCGAUCGUAGUCCGACUGCAGUCUGCAACUCGACUGCGUGAAGUCGGAAUCGCUAGUAAUCGCGGAUCAGUAUGUCGCGGUGAAUACGUUCCCGGGUCUUGUACACACCGCCCGUCACACCAUGGGAGUGGGUUUUACCAGAAGUAGUUAGCCUAACCGUAAGGAGGGCGAUUACCACGGUAGAUUCAUGACUGGGGUGAAGUCGUAACAAGGUAA
rnacentral:rRNA from 1 species